rnacentral:rRNA from 1 species
CCUACGGGUGGCAGCAGUGAGGAAUAUUGGUCAAUGGGCGAGAGCCUGAACCAGCCAAGUCGCGUGAGGGAGUACUGCCCUAUGGGUUGUAAACCUCUUUUGUCGGGGAAUAAAGGUAUCCACGUGUGGAUAUUUGCAUGUACCCUAUGAAUAAGCAUCGGCUAACUCCGUGCCAGCAGCCGCGGUAAUACGGAGGAUGCGAGCGUUAUCCGGAUUUAUUGGGUUUAAAGGGUGCGUAGGUUGUUUUUUAAGGUAGCGGUGAAAGUUUGUGGCUCAACCAUAAAAUUGCCGUUGAAACUGGAAGACUUGAGUGUGUUUGAGGUAGGCGGAAUGCGUGGUGUAGCGGUGAAAUGCAUAGAUAUCACGCAGAACUCCGAUUGCGAAGGCAGCUUACUAAGCCAUAACUGACACUGAAGCACGAAAGCGUGGGGAUCAAACAGGAUUAGAUACCCUAGUAGUC